GAGGACCAGAAAUCUUGAGUGUCUGAAGCAAUUUGCAUCAAUUAUUUCCCAAGUUACCAGUCACAAGUGAAAGCCCUUGCCUGAGUGCCUCCAUUAGCCAGGUGUCAGAGCUCUCUCUGUUUUCAUUUCAGGUUUUUUGCUGGGAACAGGGUGUGUGCAGGCUGAAAAGCACUGAGGAGGAACUGAGGCCAUGGCUGAUCCUGGGGGGUGCCCAGAGCAGCUCUGCAGGCGAGGUUAGUGCCUUUGCUCCUCUGUCAUCACCAGUCCCUGAGAGCAAUCACCACCCACCAACAGUUCCUCAAGAUAAGACUGAGCCAGCUGGGAGAAGAAAUCCUUUGAUAUUUCCCUGCCUCACUGACUGCAUUUUUCACAGCUCACAUCUCAGAGAGGACCUGCAAAGAUGA
ensembl:lncRNA